UACGAAGGGGGCUAGCGUUGCUCGGAAUCACUGGGCGUAAAGCGCACGUAGGCGGAUUGUUAAGUCAGGGGUGAAAUCCUGGAGCUCAACUCCAGAACUGCCUUUGAUACUGGCGAUCUCGAGUCCGGGAGAGGUGAGUGGAACUGCGAGUGUAGAGGUGAAAUUCGUAGAUAUUCGCAAGAACACCAGUGGCGAAGGCGGCUCACUGGCCCGGUACUGACGCUGAAAUACGAAAGCGUGGGGAGCAAACAGG
rnacentral:rRNA from 1 species